CCAGGACCAACCAAACAGGCCGAAUUGCGAGCUUUGGCGGGUUCUGGAGCUGGAGCAAGAGCUUCUGAGUCAGAAAGAACCACUCCCGGAGAAGGCGCUGGAGAUGACCAAGCGAUGGGAGACAGUGUCGGUGAUGGUGAUGGUGAUGGUGAGGGAGAUGGCUGACGAGGACUGCGGCUGUGAUGAGCGGUCGACAUGACGUUGACGGCUAGCUUCUGGCCUUUGAGACAGUUUUCCGAGUUACCGCUGACGAAAAAGAACGGACCUGAGCGGCUAAGCACAAAGAGAGAGCCUCCGUCUGAGACGGAAGUUAUGGGGUGCGUCGUGUUGCAUGUGUUGUACUCUUCUUCACUCACCUCCAACACUGAAUCUUUUCCCUUGGGGUACUUAAAAUCUUGCAAUUGCACCAGUGGAUUUUUUUUUAUCGUGGUUAGAAUGACAUUAUGAUACAUUAAUGUGCAGUAUACAGUUGAGAACGGAGAGAUACAGAACAUGAUCGGGUACGGAGGGAACUCGAAGGUGUAUAGAGGAGUGUUGGAAGGUAAAGAAGUGGCGGUGAAGAGGAUUAUGACAAGCCCUCGUGAUACCGUGGCUGGGACGAGUGAGUUCCUGGCGGAGGUCUCGAGUUUAGGGAGGUUGAGACACAAGAAUAUAGUGGGGCUAAGAGGUUGGUGUAAGAAAGGAGGUGAGUGUCUUGUCUUGGUGUAUGAGUAUAUGGAGAAUGGGAGUGUGGAUAAGCGGUUAUUUGAUUGCGAUGAGGUGUUGGAGUGGGAGGAGAGGAUGAGAGUGAUAAGAGACGUAGCUUCGGGGAUGUUGUAUCUACACGAAGGGUGGGAGUCAAAGGUGUUGCAUAGAGAUAUCAAGACGAGCAAUGUGUUGCUUGACAAGGAUAUGAACGCUAGAGUUGGCGAUUUCGGGUUGGCUAAGUUGCAGAAUACUAAUAAAGAGAUGGUUAGUACGACGCACGUGGUUGGAACCGCGGGUUACAUGGCGCCUGAGUUGGUUAAGACAGGGAGAGCAUCUGUGGAGACGGAUGUGUAUAGCUUUGGUGUGUUUGUGUUGGAGGUAGUGUGUGGGAGGAAGCCAAUAGAGGAAGGAAGGGAAGGGAUAGUGGAGUGGAUGUGGGGACUGAUGGAGAGAGACCAAGUGGUUGAUGGUUUGGACGAGAGGUUAAAGGUGAGAGGAAGGUUUGAGGUAAAGGAAGUAGAGAUGGCUUUGAGGAUAGGACUCUUGUGUGUGCAUCCUGAUCCGAGGGUGAGGCCGAAGAUGAGACAAGUGGUGCAUAUAUUGGAGCAAGGGAGGUUGAGUGAUGAUGAGAGGGAGAGGGAAGGCGUGGAAGUGAGCUUGUUGGAGAGGAUGAAGAGUUCUUAUUUGUUGGGAACUAGUGAUGGAAUACUACAACAACAACAACAUCCCACGUUUUUAGAUGUAUGGAACUCGACUUCUCAUUCUCAUUCCUUUAGGAGUUCUAGUUCUAUUUUUCAAGGAAGGUGAAAAGCUAGUGUGAGAGUUAUUUUUUAUAGUAUUUCUAUACUAUACAGCAUAUAUAUACAGGUUGUGUGAUUUGUCUGUUUAUAAGACUUGCAUGAAUUCAUCUAUGUCUAAACUCUGAAGUAAAUUUAUUUAGAAACUUUUUAACAUUCUUACAAAGAAAAACAAAUUUAGAAACUUCAUUAACUGUCAUUUAAUGUACUCCCUCCGUUUUUUAUUAUAAGUCGUUUUGAAGCUAUGCACAUAGAUUAAGAAAAUCAUUAAUUUCUUAUAUUUUCGAAACAAAAACAUCAUUAAUUAUUUACCUAACCACAAUUUAACCAAUAGAAAAAUAGAAGAUAUAUUAUCAUUGGUCAGACAACAUUAAUUACUAAUAAAUGUUACAUAAAAAACCGAAAACGACAUAUAAUUUGGAACAAAAAAGUUUCUCUAAAACGACUUAUAUUAAAAAACGGAGGGAGUAAUAAUUAGAAGGUUUCUUGUUGUUUUCCCUUACAACGAGGCACCAGUGGUCUAGUGGUAGAAUAGUACCCUGCCACGGUACAGACCCGGGUUUGAUUCCCGGCUGGUGCAUUUUUUUUCAUCUUUUUAUCCUAUUUAUUUUCUUUCAAAACACCUCGUUUUUGGGUCAUCGACGUCUUUGAAAUAUGUGGAGAUGGUGCAACUGAUAAAAUGGUUCAGAGAGUGAUAAUCUCUAUUUUAGUAAGGAAAACAUAAAAAAGUUUAAACAUAUAAUGGCACAUUAAAUAUUGAAUUCAACGCAAACUAUAGAGUGCUUAAUUAAUACAUUCAUGAAUCACCACUAUAAACUCUAGACCAUGGACCUUAUGAAAACAAAGAGAACUAAUCCCAAAGAAACCAUCCCAGGACCAACCAAACAGGCCGAAUUGCGAGCUUUGGCGGGUUCUGGAGCUGGAGCAAGAGCUUCUGAGUCAGAAAGAACCACUCCCGGAGAAGGCGCUGGAGAUGACCAAGCGAUGGGAGACAGUGUCGGUGAUGGUGAUGGUGAUGGUGAGGGAGAUGGCUGACGAGGACUGCGGCUGUGAUGAGCGGUCGACAUGACGUUGACGGCUAGCUUCUGGCCUUUGAGACAGUUUUCCGAGUUG
rnacentral:lncRNA from 1 species